rnacentral:rRNA from 1 species
GACGAACGCUGGCGGCGUGCCUAAUACAUGCAAGUAGAACGCAGUUGCGAACGGGUGAGUAACGCGUAGGUAACUGCCUCAUAGCGGGGGAUAACUAUUGGAAACGAUAGCUAAUACCGCAUACUGUGAGAUGGACCUGCGUUGUAUUAGCUAGUUGGGGAGGUAAAGGGUUUCCAAGGCGACGAUACAUAGCCGACCUGUGAGGGUGAUCGGCCCAACUGGGAAUGAGACACGGCCCAGACUCCUACGGGAGGCAGCAGGAGGGAAUCAUCGGAAAUGGACGGAAGUCUGACCGAGCAACGCCGCGUGAGGGAAGAAGGUUUUCGGAUCGUAAAGCGAUGUUGUUAGAGAAGCGGUAACUAAACAGAAAGGGACGGCUAACUACGUGCCAGCCGCCGCGGUAAUAC